UACGUAGGGGGCGAGCGUUGUCCGGAAUCAUUGGGCGUAAAGAGCGUGUAGGUGGACUGGAAGGUCUGGUGUGAAAGCCCGGGGCUCAACCCCGGAGGGUCACUGGAAACCAACAGUCUUGAGUCUGGAAGAGGAGAGUGGAAUUCCUGGUGUAGCGGUGAAUGACGCAGAUAUCAGGAGGAACACCGGUGGCGAAGGCGGGUCUCUGGGCCGAUACUGACGCUGAGGAGCGAAAGCGUGGGGAGCAAACAGG
rnacentral:rRNA from 1 species